GGAAGUUGUCAGAUGAAGGGGAUUGGAAAGGAUUCGGCCAAACUUGCCAGGUGAUGUCUCAGAUGCUGAAACACAAAGCAAGCUAUACCUGACCAAGGGUAUUUGCUGUCACAAAGAAUAAACUGGGACCCUCUUACCAUCUCAGCCACCAGUGGCUAAAAGGGAAGGAUCAUCAAGAGAGACAAACAGAAAAGACACAACUUCCUUCAAGGACUUCUGAGCCCGUUUCUAGUUCUUGCCACCCAAGAAAAAGAAAAUGUUGGCUUCUGACUAAUACCACACUACCCGGCUGCAACCACAGGCUGUGCUGGAGCCCUUCAAACCAGGCUGCAUUCUCCUGGGGACAGCAUCGCCCCACAUGGCCGCAUCCCCUCCCUUGCCUGCCUUCCUCUAGGCACGGCUGAGGAUGAAGAAUGGCCAGUGCCUGGAUUUCCAAAUGGUGUGAAGCGCAGGACCUCUGAACAGCCUGAUGCCACCUACCCCUGCCAAAAUGGGAAGCUCAGUAAGCCCCACCUCAGCAUAGAGAGACCAGGAGUAACCACCGCCACCUCCUGGAAUUCUUAGACUCUGAGAAGAUCCUAUGAUGUCAAGGACUCAGAACAAACAAGGACUUUCUCGCAAGAAGAACCAUCUCAGAAAUUAAUCUAAAAGUUUUCAG